rnacentral:rRNA from 1 species
GGCUAACGCUGGCGGCGUGUCUUAGCCAUGCAAGUCGAGCGGACUUAUGGGGUAACUUAUAAGUCAGCGGCGGACGGCGGAGUAACACGUAGCUAACCUACCCUCUGGACGGGGAUAACCUACCGAAAGGUGGGCUAAUACCCGAUGUAGUCAUCCUGUAUAGGGGUGAUGAAAGGUGGGCUUCUGUUUACAAGCUCAUGCUGGAGGAGGGGGCUGCGGCCUAUCAGGUAGUUGGUAGGGUAAUAGCCUACCAAGCCGAUGACGGGUAGCCGGCCUGAGAGGGUGACCGGCCCGAGGGGCACUGAGAUACGGGUCCCACUCCUACGGGAGGCAGCAGGCUAGAAAUUUGGGCAAUGGGGGAAACCCUGACCCAGUGACGCCGCGUGCAGGAAGGAGCCCUUCGGGGUGUAAACUGCUGUCGUGUAGGGAGAAGGGUACUAAGGUGAACAAUCUUAGUACUUGACGGUACUACAGGAGGAAGCCCAGGCCUAACCUCGUGCCAGCAGCCGACGGUAAAGCUACGUAGA